rnacentral:tRNA from 1 species
GCACGUGUAGCUCAGUGUAUAGAGCGUCUGUUUCCUAGGUAGAAAGUCAUAGGUUCAACCCCUGCCUAGUGCG